rnacentral:rRNA from 1 species
GACGAACGCUGGCGGCGUGCUUAACACAUGCAAGUCGAACGGAAAGGCCCUGCUUUUGUGGGGUGCUCGAGUGGCGAACGGGUGAGUAACACGUGAGUAACCUGCCCUUGACUUUGGGAUAACUUCAGGAAACUGGGGCUAAUACCGGAUAGGAGCUCCUGCUGCAUGGUGGGGGUUGGAAAGUUUCGGCGGUUGGGGAUGGACUCGCGGCUUAUCAGCUUGUUGGUGGGGUAGUGGCUUACCAAGGCUUUGACGGGUAGCCGGCCUGAGAGGGUGACCGGCCACAUGGGGGCUGGGAUGGGGCCCAGACUCCUCGGGGGGGAAGGGGGGGGAAAUUUUGCACAAGGGGGGGAGGCCGGAUGAAGCAACCCCGGGUGCGGGAGGGCGGCCUUCGGUUUGGAAACCGCUUUCCCCUGUGACGAAGGGGGAGUGAGGGUAGGGGGAAAAAAAGCACGGGCAAACUCCGUC